GGUUGCGAUCAUACCAGCACUAAUGCACCGGAUCCCAUCAGGACUCCGCAGUUAAGCGUGCUUGGGUGAGAGUAGUACUAGGAUGGGUGACCCCCUGGGAAGUCCUCGUGUUGCAACCCC
rnacentral:rRNA from 1 species